GCGCGAAAAACUUUACAAUGCGGGAAACCGUGAUAAGGGGACACCGAGUGCCAGCGUCAUACGCUGGCUGUCCAGGUGUGUAAAAUACACCUGUUAGCAAGGGCCGGGCAAGACCGGUGCCAGCCGCCGCGGUAACACCGGCGGCCCGAGUGGUGAUCGUGAUUAUUGGGUCUAAAGGGUCCGUAGCCGGUUUGGUCAGUCCUCCGGGAAAUCUGAUAGCUCAACUAUUAGGCUUUCGGGGGAUACUGCCAGACUUGGAACCGGGAGAGGUAAGAGGUACUACAGGGGUAGGAGUGAAAUCUUGUAAUCCCUGUGGGACCACCUGUGGCGAAGGCGUCUUACCAGAACGGGUUCGACGGUGAGGGACGAAAGCUGGGGGCACGAACCGGAUUAGAUACCCGGGUAGUCCCAGCCGUAAACGAUGCUCGCUAGGUGUCAGGCAUGGCGCGACCGUGUCUGGUGCCGCAGGGAAGCCGUGAAGCGAGCCACCUGGGAAGUACGGCCGCAAGGCUGAAACUUAAAGGAAUUGGCGGGGAGCACAACAACGGGUGGAGCCUGCGGUUU
rnacentral:rRNA from 1 species